GUACUGCUAUUACUAUGGUUACUCGUAUUGCUGUUACUGCUAGUAUCAAUACAAUUGCCAUCAUUACUAUGGUUACUCGUAUUGCUGUUACUGCUAGUAUCAAUACAAUUGCCAUCAUUACUAUGGUUAGUGCUGCAUCACCAUCACCACCGUUCUUCUUCUUGCUACGGCUAGCAUUAGUGCUACGGCCAGCAUUAAUACUAUCGCCGGCGUUAGUACUGCUACCAUUGCUACUAUUACUGCUGCCGCUCUUCCGUCAAGGCAGGAGAGUGCGGUCCUCCAGGGUUCUUCAAGGAGGGACAAUCCCCUCUCCUGCGGGCUGGCUGAGUUCUGGACUCCUGGACCAGGAACUCAGCCCAAAGCCUUACACUUUGCAGAACCAAGAUCCCGAAGCAGACGGGGUCCUCCCGGGCCCCCAGGACUACAGGUCUGAGGGGCAGGGGAGCCCUUUGGAAAGAUGGCUUGCACUCGGGGGUUGGUUUAUGUCCCUGGAACGGAUCUUCCCCAGAUGGCGGGGGCUCCCCCUCAGGCUCGCGUUUCAAACGUUCCAGCCUUUUGUCCUUCCUGAGCACCAGGCGAGAUUUACAGGGAGGUGGCUUCCAAGUGGCUCUUCCCUCCCCAGAUCCGAUCUUCUCGGGGCCAGACAUGAGGCAGGACAGAGCACCUCCCUGCUUGUGAAGCGGGAAGGGGGGCCUCAGUUUCUGGAAAGGCCCCAGGGCCGUGGGAAGCUGGGGUUGGGGAAAGAGGGGGAAACCGGUGCGUUUCCUUGGGAGAAAAGGGGAAAACAGGAUAUGGAGCUUAAAAAAGAAAAUGGCAGUGAACUUGAGAAGGCAGACCACAACCCACACCUGGAUUUAUCAAGCGGAGCAACACGUCUCCGCAGGAGGGCAGAGCCUGGCGGGCAGCUCCUGGUGGAAACGGGUGAGGUUAAACCAAGGGCCGUGGAGCCCCAGCACCAGGACUGACUCUACCCCAACCACCAGACCUCCACACUGGAAAAAGUUGAAGAACCGCCUCCGUCAGACGCAUGGACUGUUCUCGAAGUGAUCGCAUGCCUCUAGACGGUCCCGCGUGGCUUUCCUAAUUCCUGUCCUAGGACACGGCCGUCAGCCAUCACCGUGAGAAACGGGGACAGCCCCCUGUGCAGAGAGCGCCUCUGUGGCUCUGCGGUGAAUUUCCUUUCAGGCUUUCUCUGUGUGUUGUUUGGCCACGCCCACGUCAUGCAAAAGUUUCCAGGCCAGAAAUGGAACCUGCACCACAGUGGCAACCCAAGCCACAGCACUGACAAGCCAGGUCCUCAACCCACUAGGCCACCAGGGAACUCCACAUUCUACACAUUUUAAAACAACGAUAAUAUUGUAGGGUAGGUUGCAUUUUGUGUUUGUUGGUUGAUG
rnacentral:lncRNA from 1 species